rnacentral:rRNA from 1 species
UACGGAGGGUGCAAGCGUUGUCCGGAAUCACUGGGCGUAAAGGGCGCGUAGGCGGCUCGGUAAGUAGGGGGUGAAAUCCUGCGGCUCAACCGCAGGGCUGCCUUCUAAACUGUCGAGCUCGAGCACGGUAGAGGCAGAUGGAAUUCCCGGUGUAGCGGUGGAAUGCGUAGAGAUCGGGAAGAACAUCAGUGGCGAAGGCGGUCUGCUGGGCCGUUGCUGACGCUGACGCGCGACAGCGUGGGGAGCAAACAGG